rnacentral:rRNA from 1 species
CAGUUUUCUGGCAAGACUGAUCAGAUUAGUUGGGUGUUGGGUAAAAAAGGUAAAUUCUCGACCAAAUCGUUCUAUACCUACUUGGAAAGGCAGCUGGCUGGAUGUGACUAUAGAUGGAUUUGGAAAGCAAAAAUCCCCCUUAAAAUCCAAAUUUUUCUUUGGCAAGUGUUUCAAGACGCGGUUCUGACUAGAGAAGUCAUGAGAAAGCGCAACUGGGCAGGAAAUCUUAAAUGCUCUUUUUGUGAUAAUGUGGAGACCUCACAGCAUCUUUUCUUUACGUGUCCUGUGGCUCGGGUGGUAUGGAGGACGGUUGGAUGUGUGCUGGGCACAUCUUUAUGUCCAAAUAACAUUUGGCAGUACUAUUCCUGGUGUUAUAUUUUCCUUCCUGAUGGAACUAAACUUUACACCUCUGGUUUGGCAGCAGUUUGUUGGGCGAUAUGGAACAAUCGUAACCAAGCUACUUUUGAACAUAAAGACUUCAAAAGCCCUUUUAAUGUGGUGUAUGCUGCUUGUGGUUUUUUGAUGUACUGGGCAGGUUUGAUGGCUGGCGAUGAUCGGGAGGCCAUGGAGCGCGGAGCCAAGAUGCUCAGGUCCAGUGCUUCGAUGAUGAUGAGAAUCUGCGCGGCUCCAACCAACUCAGCUUCGAACUGA